AGGACGAACGCUGGCGGCGUGCUUAACACAUGCAAGUCGAACGGUAAGGCCCCUUCGGGGGUACACGAGUGGCGAACGGGUGAGUAACACGUGGGUAAUCUGCCCUGCACUUCGGGAUAAGCCUGGGAAACUGGGUCUAAUACCGGAUAUGAACUCCUGCCGCAUGGUGGGGGUUGGAAAGUUUUUCGGUGCAGGAUGAGCCUGCGGCCUAUCAGCUUGUUGGUGGGGUAAUGGCCUACCAAGGCGACGACGGGUAGCCGGCCUGAGAGGGUGAUCGGCCACACUGGGACUGAGACACGGCCCAGACUCCUACGGGAGCAGCAGUGGGAAUAUGCACAAUGGGCGAAAGCCUGAUGCAGCGACGCCGCGUGGGGGAUGACGGUCUUCGGAUUCGUAAACCCCUUCAGGUAGGGACGAAGCGCAAGUGACGGUACCUGCAGAAGAAGCGACCGACUAACUACGUGCCAGCAGCCGAC
rnacentral:rRNA from 1 species